rnacentral:lncRNA from 1 species
UAAAGAUUAGAAUCAGAGAACUGGUUUGUUUAUUAUUGUUAGAGAUAAAAGGUGACUUUCAGAAAGAAAAUAGGCAGUGCAAAGGUAGUGAGGGCCAAAGAAACAUCAGGGUUCCUCAUGCUUUGAGAAAAUACAAUGUUCUGCAGGGAUCCUGACAUUUAAAUAAGCAAUUUCAAGCAACUUUAAUGUGCUUGGCUUGCAGAUUGCCGGAGGCUGGAAAGUAAGACAAAUAACAGCUCACCUGCCUGGGUUAUUGGAGCAACAAGAAACUUUCAGAGCAAUCCUCCAUUUGCCAGCACUGAACAUAUUGCCUAGCAGACAGUCGGCAUUUCAUGUCCCUUUUAUGUACGGACGGAAGGAGAGAAUGAAGGAAGUUUGGAAGAAUGGAAGAAAAGAGAAAAGAGAGGGAGGAGGAUAGAAGGAAGACACUGAAUUUUGGAAAUAUAAAUCAGUGACUUUAAUAUCGAAUCUGAUAAAAUUUUAUAGCAGGUUAUUAAAUAUGUUUCCAAAUAUUUAAAAAUAGAAAUGAUAAUCAUUGAAAUACAACAUUAAUUUAUUAAAAUAAAUCAGACUAUGCUGACAUCAUUUACUUUUUUGAUAGGAUUAAUAGUUUUAUAAACCUACAGUGUAAGUACAG